rnacentral:ncRNA from 1 species
CCUUAGGGGUGGUCAAUUGAUCUGAGAUUCUGGUGCGCCAGUCAACCCUAGAACCUGAUCCGGUUAAUACCGGCGUAGGAAAAGGAU